rnacentral:rRNA from 1 species
UACGUAGGGUGCGAGCGUUGUCCGGAAUUAUUGGGCGUAAAGAGCUUGUAGGCGGUCUGUCGCGUCUGCUGUGAAAAUCCGGGGCUCAACCCCGGACUUGCAGUGGGUACGGGCAGACUAGAGUGUGGUAGGGGAGACUGGAAUUCCCGGUGUAGCGGUGAAAUGUGUAGAGAUCGGGAGGAACACCGGUGGCGAAGGCGGGUCUCUGGGCCGAAAUUGACGCUGAGGAGCGAAAGCGUGGGGAGCAAACAGG